rnacentral:lncRNA from 11 species
GCUGACUGGAAAUGGCCAGGAAAGAAGAUGGCUGCCGACUCUCUAAAGCCUUUUUACUUCUAAGGCACUGAGGCAUAUUUAUGGACUAUUUAAAAGGACCGUUUAUUCCCUCUGUUCUCUGCGUUUUGCAAUUGCAAAGUGACCUGUGGGAAAAAAUAGAGUGUGGGGAGGACACGACAAAUGCUGCCACAGAAGUGUCUGGAGUUACUGCACAAGGCUGUUUCUGGCUGGAUUCAUGUUGGAGAUGACAUUGGGGAUAUACGUUUUGUGAACACUCCUACCUCGAGCGAGCUUCAAGAUGGAUUUUGGUGACUAUGUAGAAGUUUCAGGAAAACUGAAGCAGGUGAGUAAAAUAUAUUGUCAUGGUCUGCUGCAGUGUAUUUGUGCAAUGUGCAAAGCCA